GACGAACGCUGGCGGCGUGCCUAAUACAUGCAAGUAGAACGCAGUUGCGAACGGGGGAGUAACGCGGAGGUAACUGCCUCAUAGCGGGGAUAACUAUUGGAAACGAUAGCUAAUACCGCAGACUGGGAGAGGGACCUGCGUUGUAUUAGCUAGUUGGUGAGGUAAAGGCUCACCAAGGAGACGAUACAUAGCCGACCUGAGAGGGUGAUCGGCCCCACUGUGACUGAGACCCUGCCCAGACUCCUACGGGCAGCAGCAGUAGGGAAUCUUCGGCAAUGGACGUAAGUCUGACCGAGCAACGCCGCUUGAGUGAAGAAGGUUUUCGUAUCGUAAAGCUCUGUUGUUAGAGAAGCGGUCACUAACCAGAAAGGGCCGGCUAACUACGUGCCAGCAGCCGCGGUACUAC
rnacentral:rRNA from 1 species